GCUUACACAUGCAAGUCGAACGAUGAACCGCUUUCGGGCGGGGAUUAGUGGCGAACGGGUGAGUAACACGUGGGCAAUCUGCCCUGCACUCUGGGACAAGCCCUGGAAACGGGGUCUAAUACCGGAUAUGACUGUCCGCCGCAUGGUGGAUGGUGUAAAGCUCCGGCGGUGCAGGAUGAGCCCGCGGCCUAUCAGCUUGUUGGUGAGGUAGUGGCUCACCAAGGCGACGACGGGUAGCCGGCCUGAGAGGGCGACCGGCCACACUGGGACUGAGACACGGCCCAGACUCCUACGGGAGGCAGCAGUGGGGAAUAUUGCACAAUGGGCGAAAGCCUGAUGCAGCGACGCCGCGUGAGGGAUGACGGCCUUCGGGUUGUAAACCUCUUUCAGCAGGGAAGAAGCGAAAGUGACGGUACCUGCAGAAGAAGCGCCGGCUAACUACGUGCCAGCAGCCGCGGUAAUACGUAGGGCGCAAGCGUUGUCCGGAAUUAUUGGGCGUAAAGAGCUCGUAGGCGGCUUGUCACGUCGGUUGUGAAAGCCCGGGGCUUAACCCCGGGUCUGCAGUCGAUACGGGCAGGCUAGAGUUCGGUAGGGGAGAUCGGAAUUCCUGGUGUAGCGGUGAAAUGCGCAGAUAUCAGGAGGAACACCGGUGGCGAAGGCGGAUCUCUGGGCCGAUACUGACGCUGAGGAGCGAAAGCGUGGGGAGCGAACAGGAUUAGAUACCCUGGUAGUCCACGCCGUAAACGGUGGGCACUAGGUGUGGGCAACAUUCCACGUUGUCCGUGCCGCAGCUAACGCAUUAAGU
rnacentral:rRNA from 1 species